rnacentral:rRNA from 1 species
UACAGAGGGUGCAAGCGUUGCUCGGAUUUACUGGGCGUAAAGCGUACGCAGACGGUAAGGAAGGUCGGAUGUGAAAGCCCCGGGCUCAACCCGGGAACUGCAUCCGAAACCGCCUUGCUCGAGUAUGGGAGAGGAAAGCGGAAUUCCUGGUGUAGAGGUGAAAUUCGUAGAUAUCAGGAGGAACACCUGCGGCGAAGGCGGCUUUCUGGCCCAUUACUGACGUUCAGGUACGAAAGCGUGGGUAGCAAACAGG